UGUAAAUGGCAAUCGUGUCAAAAUCAAGGUUAAACCCAGGAUAAAUCCAGACCUCUUUCAGGAGAUUGUGAGGAAACAGCCCUCCACACUGGGGUGGAAAGCACCGAGAGCAGAGAGCCUUUCUACUUCUGCGAAUUGUACAGCACCCAGCACAGUCUAAGUCAGUAUUUCGGAAAGGUUCAAAUAGCCUUAUUCGCCUGCCUGUGGAAUGAUCACCGUUGGGCAGGAUGCGUCUGCUUCUGGAGCGAGAGGGAAGGACACUUAAUGGAUAGUGCCCCUACCAUGUUCCACGGACCAGAGGCAUGGGCUGCCAAUGUUUACCAAGGUAUUGCCACUACCUAGUACAUUGCUUGGGACAUAGCAAACACCUGAUGAUAACUGUUGAAUGACUGAAGUUAAGCAAUAAAGGAACAGGAAUUUUUAAAAAGGGCAUAUGAAGAGGAUAAUCUCUAAUCACAGCACAGUUGUCCAUAAUUCCUGGAAAAUGGGCAGGUGUCACCAGUGUCCCAGAGAAACAACUAUGACUGCUGUCUUAAUAUUGGUCCCAAACUAUAGAAUACAUGCUUCUGCUUUUCUUUCACCAUCAAGAAAUCAAUGAUAUUGCUCAAUUCUGGUGGAGUUAUUUCAU